GCUUCCGUAGCUCAGUGGAUUAGAGCAUCCCACUUCUAAUGGGACGGUCGCAGGUUGGCUUCGCCCUUCUCCUUGUGCCUCGGCAUAGCUCAAGCAAGCUUGGCUCUUCGCUCGGCACUGCGUCGAGUCACCUCCCGUCGGAAGUA
rnacentral:tRNA from 1 species